CGUUUCGUUAAAGAAUUGUCUGUUUAUCGUUUAUAAAUAGCUCAAAAUCUCCCCAACGGACCGACCGAAAGGCUUUUAGAAAAGUCCGCUCUCGGACAGAAAAAAAGAAAAAAAAAAAGUUAUAAUAACAAAACGGCCGAUCCCGAAAUGAUAAUAACGAUGACAUUAAUAAUAAUAAUAAUAACAAUAAUGUACUCCGAAGCGAAAUUGCGAAAUUACGGCUUGUCGCGAGUAGUCGUCGUGGCGUAUUUUCAUCCGGGU